UACGGAGGUCCCAAGCGUUGUUCGGAAUUACUGGGCGUAAAGGGAGCGCAGGCGGAUAGUUAAGUCUAAAGUGGAAUCCCGGGGCUCAACCUCGGAACUGCUUCGGAUACUGGCUAUCUUGAGUUCGUGAGAGGAAAGCGGAAUUCAGGGUGUAGCGGUGAAAUGCUUAGAUAUCCUGAGGAACACCAAUGGCGAAGGCAGCUUUCUGGCGCGAUACUGACGCUGAGGCUCGAAAGCGUGGGGAGCGAACGGG
rnacentral:rRNA from 1 species